rnacentral:rRNA from 1 species
CAAGUCGAACGCGAAAGUCCCCUUCGGGGGACAAGUAGAGUGGCGCACGGGUGAGUAACACGUAGGUAAUCUACCUUUGGAUUGGGAAUAACCACCGGAAACGGUGGCUAAUACCGAAUAAUGCAGCGGCACCUAAUGGUGACAGUUGUUAAAGCGGGGGAUCGCAAGACCUCGCGUCUGAAGAGGAGCCUGCGGCAGAUUAGCUAGUUGGUAAGGUAACGGCUUACCAAGGCGAUGAUCUGUAGCCGGCCUGAGAGGGCGGUCGGCCACACUGACACUGACAUACGGGUCAGACUCCUACGGGAGGCAGCAGUCGGGAAUUUUGGGCAAUGGGCGAAAGCCUGACCCAGCAACGCCGCGUGAAGGAUGAAAUCCCUCGGGAUGUAAACUUCGCAAGAACGGGAAGAAUAAGUAAGAGCUAACAUCUCUUACGAUGACGGUACUGUUUGUAAGCUCCGGCUAACUCCGUGCCAGCAGCCGCGGUAAUACGGGGGGAGCAAGCGUUGUUCGGAUUUACUGGGCGUAAAGGGCGCGUAGGCGGCACCGCAAGUCGACUGUGAAAUCUCCGGGCUUAACUCGGAAAGGUCAGCCGAUACUGCGGGGCUAGAGUGCAGAAGGGGCAACUGGAAUUCUCGGUGUAGCGGUGAAAUGCGUAGAUAUCGAGAGGAACACCUGCGGCGAAGGCGGGUUGCUGGGCUGACACUGACGCUGAUGCGCGAAAGCUAGGGGAGCGAACGGGAUUAGAUACCCCGGUAGUCCUAGCCUUAAACGAUGAAUGCUUGGUGUCUGGGGUUUUAUAGUCCCCGGGUGCCGUCGCUAACGCUUUAAGCAUUCCGCCUGGGGAGUACGGUCGCAAGACUGAAACUCAAAGGA